CCCUUAGAUGUUCUGGGCAGCACGCGCGCUGCAAUGGUCUUCGCAAACGGAUGCAUUCUCGAAGGAGAAUGCCAAUCUUGGAAUCUAUGCCUUGGUCGGGACAGUUGCUUGCAAUUUUUCGACUCGAACCAGGAAUUCCUUGUAAUCGUGAUUCAUCACAUCACGAUGAAUACGUCCCUGCCCUUUGUACACACCGCCCGUCGCUCCUACCGAUCGAAGAGUUAGGUGAAUUGUUUUGAUCGAUAAGAUUUGACUAUGGUCAACUCUCGUUGUGAAAUUCUGUGAAUCUGACUGUUUAGAGGAAGGAAAAGUUGUAACA
rnacentral:rRNA from 1 species